GUUAAACUGUAGCAGUGGCGAUUGCCACUGCUACUGUUAUAUAUGUAUAUAACUGUAGCAGUGGCGAUUGCCACUGCUACUGUU